rnacentral:rRNA from 1 species
AGCAGCCGCGGUAAUUCCAGCUCCAAUAGCGUAUAUUAAAAGUUGUUGCAGUUAAAAAAGCUCGUAGUUGAAUUUCGGGGUCAGUAGAUUGGUCGUGCCACAGGUAUGUACUGGUCUUACUGGCUCCUCCUUCCUGAUGAACCGUAAUGCCAUUAAUUUGGUGUUGCGGGGAGACUGGACUGUUACUUUGAAAAAAUUAGAGUGUUUAAAGCAGGCUAACGCUUGAAUACAUUAGCAUGGAAUAAUGAAAUAGGACGUUCGAUCUUAUUUUGUUGGUUUCUAAGAUUGACGUAAUGAUUAAUAGGGAUAGUUGGGGGCAUUAGUAUUCAAUUGUCAGAGGUGAAAUUCUUGGAUUUAUUGAAGACUAACUACUGCGAAAGCAUUUGCCAAGGAUGUUUUCAUUAAUCAAGAACGAAAGUUAGGGGAUCGAAGACGAAUCAGAUACCGUCGUAGUCUUAACCAUAAACUAUGACCGACUAGGGAUCGGGAUGAUGUUAAUUUUUUAAUGUACUCAAUUCGG